GACGAACGCUGGCGGCGUGCUUAACACAUGCAAGUCGAACGGAAAGGCCCUGCUUUUGUGGGGUGCUCGAGUGGCGAACGGGUGAGUAACACGUGAGUAACCUGCCCUUGACUGUGGGAUAACUUCAGGAAACUGGGGCUAAUACCGGAUAGGAGCUCCUGCUGCAUGGUGGGGGUGGGAAAGUUUCGGUGGUUGGGGAUGGACUCGCGGCUUAUCAGCUUGUUGGUGGGGUAGUGGCUUACCAAGGCUUUGACGGGUAGCCGGCCUGAGAGGGUGACCGGCCAAAUUGGGACUGAGCUACGGCACAGACUCCUACGGGAGGCAGCAGUGGGGAAUGUUGCACAAUGGGCGGAAGCCUGAUGCAGCCACGCCGCGUGCGGGAUGACGGCAUUCGGUUUGUAAACCGCUUUCGCCUGUGCCGAAGCGUGAGUGACGGUAAUGGGUAAAGAAGCACCGGCUAACUCCGUG
rnacentral:rRNA from 1 species